rnacentral:rRNA from 1 species
CACGUAGGGGCCAAGCGUUGUCCGGAUUUAUUGGGCGUAAAGAGCUCGUAGGCGGUUCGACAAGUCGGGUGUGAAAACUCCGGGCUCAACCCGGAGACGCCACCCGAUACUGUCGUGACUGGAGUCCGGUAGGGAAGCGGAAUUCCCGGUGUAGUGGUGAAAUGCGUAGAUAUCGGGAGGAACACCAGUGGCGAAGGCGGCUUCCUGGCCUGUUCUUGACGCUGAGGCGCGAAAGCUAGGGGAGCAAACGGG